UGCAGUCGAGGGGCAGCGGGGUAGCAAUACUGCCGGCGACCGGCAAACGGGUGCGGAACACGUACGCAACCUUCCCAAAACAGGUGAAUAGCCCUGCGAAAGUAGGAUUAAUACACCGUAAGAUAGCUUGAUGGCAUCAUCUAGCUAUUAUAGACAGCGAUGUCGGUUUUGGAUGGGCGUGCGCCUGAUUAGGUAGUUGGUGUGGGUAACGGCCCACCAAGCCUUCGAUCAGUAACUGGUGUGAGAGCACGACCAGUCACACGGGCACUGAGACACGGGCCCGACUCCUACGGGAGGCAGCAGUAAGGAAUAUUGGUCAAUGGACGAGAGUCUGAACCAGCCAUGCCGCGUGAAGGAUGAAGGCCCUCUGGGUUGUAAACUUCUUUUAUCUGGGACGAAAAAAGGGGAUUCUUCCUCACUUGACGGUACCAGAGGAAUAAGCACCGGCUAACUCCGUGCCAGCAGCCGCGGUAAUACGGAGGGUGCAAGCGUUAUCCGGAUUUACUGGGUUUAAAGGGUGCGUAGGUGGGUAGGUAAGUCAGUGGUGAAAUCUUCAAGCUUAACUUGGAAACUGCCAUUGAUACUAUUUAUCUUGAAUACUUUGGAGGUAAGCGGAAUAUGUCAUGUAGCGGUGAAAUGCUUAGAUAUGACAUAGAACACCAAUUGCGAAGGCAGCUUACUACACAGUUAUUGACACUGAGGCACGAAAGCGUGGGGAUCAAACAGGAUUAGAUACCCUGGUAGUCCACGCCCUAAACGAUGGAUACUCGACAUUAGCGAUACACAGUUAGUGUCUGAGCGAAAGCAUUAAGUAUCCCACCUGGGAAGUACGAUCGCA
rnacentral:rRNA from 1 species